AUGUUCUUCCUCAUGGGCGCGGGCGCGGAUUCGACCACGUGUCACGUCGCGGCGCACGCCCUGGCGAGCCCGGUGGCCGCCGUCUUCUUCGCCUCGGCCGUGUGCACGCUGGCCCUCGCCGUCCUCCUGGGCUCCAUGCGGCUGCGGCCGCCGUGGUGGUGCGCGUGCGCGGUGUGCGAGGCGUACCUGACGGCGUCGUGGACGGGCGAGUUCGACAACCUCUGCGACUGGUUCGCCCACCUGCUGCGCCGCGAGCCCGGGCGGACCGUGCACGUGCACGUCCUCGGGAACGUGCUCACCGCCAACCCGGCCACCGUCGAGCACAUGCUCCGCGGCCGGUUCGACAACUACCCCAAGGGCGCGCCCUUCUCCGCCAUCCUCGCCGACUUCCUCGGCCGAGGCAUAUUCAACGUCGACGGCGACUCCUGGCUCUUCCAGCGCAAGCUCGCCGCCGCCGAGCUCGCGUCCCCGGCGAUCCGCGCGUUCACGGCCAGAGUCGUUGCCUCCGAACUGAGGUGCCGCCUCAUUCCUCUGCUCCACUCUGCCUCCGCUGGACAGGGUGGCGAGGAGAAGCUGCUCGACCUGCAGGACGUGUUCCGCCGCUUCGCUUUCGACUGCAUAUGCAAGAUCUCCUUCGGCCUCGACCCCGGCUGCCUCGAGCUUUCUCUGCCGAUGUCGGCGUUCGCCGACGCUUUCGACACGGCGUCGAUGCUCUCGGCGCGGCGAGCGACGGCGCCCAUGCAUGUGGUCUGGAAGAUUAAGCGGUUGCUGAACAUAGGGGACGAGCGGGAGCUCCGCGACGCGAUCGGCCUCGUCGACGAUCUUGCCGCCGAGGUCAUCCGGCAGCGCCGCAAGCUUGGCUCCACUACUGCCUCGGGCGACGACCUCCUGUCGCGCUUCAUGGGCUCCAUCAACGACGACAAGUACCUCCGCGACAUCGUCGUGAGCUUCCUGCUGGCCGGGCGCGACACCGUCGCCUCUGCUCUCACCGCCUUCUUCCUGCUCCUCUGCGACCACCCCCACGUCGCCGACGCGAUCCGGGACGAGGUCUCCCGCGUCACCGCCGGAGGGAGAGACGCCGACGACCACCCCGCGAUCGCCACCUCCGAGAAGCUCAAGGACAUGCACUACGUGCACGCGGCCCUGUACGAGUGCAUGCGGCUGUUCCCGCCGGUGCAGUUCGACUCCAAGUUCGCGGCCGGCGAGGACACGCUCCCGGACGGCACGCCCGUGGCCAAGGGCACCCGGGUGACCUACCACGCGUACGCCAUGGGACGGAUGGAGUCCGUGUGGGGGCCCGACUGCGCCGAGUUCCGGCCGGAGAGGUGGCUCCGAGACAACCAGUUCGUGCCGGAGAGCCCGUACCGGUACCCGGUGUUCCAGGGCGGCGUGCGCGUCUGCAUUGGCAAGGAGCUGGCCAUCAUGGAGAUGAAGGCGGCCAUCGUGGCCGUGGUCCAGGGCUUCGACAUCGAGACGGUCGGGCGGAGCUCGCGGCGGCCCAAGUUCGCGCCGGGGCUCACCGCCGCGUUCGCCGGGGGUGUGCCGGUCAGAGUGCGCCGGCGAGCGCGCGCGAGGGGCUAG
rnacentral:rRNA from 1 species